rnacentral:ncRNA from 1 species
AUAGUUUAAAUUUUUCUAAUAAAUCAACACUUAAAAAUAAAUUACAUGAAAAAUAAUAUUCUCUAUAAUUAACAACUAUAAAAAAAAAUAACAUCAGUAAUUAAUAUUUAUAAAUUAAUGAAAGUUAGAAUAAGAUUUUUAAAAAAUAUUAAUAAAAUUUGUGCCAGCAAUUGCGGUUAAACAAUAAAUAUAAUUGAUUAAAUCAAGAUUGAAAGUAAAAACAAAUUGAUAGUAUAGUAAUAGUUUAAUAGUAAAAUAUAUAAAUUACCAAAUUUUCCACGACUAUCUAAUAUUUAAUUUCAUAAAUUAUAAACAUAAACAAGGAUUGGAUACCCUUUUAUAUUAUAACAAAAUAACAACCUUGGAAAAAUAAAUAUAUAAAAAAUAAACUCAAUAAUUAUGGCGGUAAUAAAAAUAAUUAGGGGAAUAUGUACCUUAAUUUGAUAACCCACCAAAAAUCAUACUAUUUAUUGAAUACCAACUUACACAUUUCCGUUAUAAGCUAAUUUUAAUAAAUUAACCUUAAUCACCAAUUAUAUAUCAGGUCAAAAUGUAGUAAAUAAAAUAGGGGGAAUAUGUAUUACUAAAAUAUUUAAAUAUAAAAAUUAACUUAUAAAAUAAUAAUUAGUACUUAAAAGUAAUUAUAAAAAUAAUAAAUAAUUAUCUUUAUUAUGCACAAAUCGCCCGUCACUCUCAUUAUAUAAUUGAGAUAAGUCGUAACAAAGUAGGAAUAAUGGAAAUUGUUUC